GAUACUUGCCAGCGCUCUCAACCAGAAUCUGGUGGAGUUUGAGCUAAAACCAGGAGCAAGAGUAAUCGUUUACAUCACACAGCUAACUUUGGCACCCUUGGUGGAUUCCAGCCCGAGACACAGCAGUUCAGUCAUGCUGAUGCUCCUAUCAGUAGUAUUCCUGGGUUUAGCAGUGUUUCUCAUCUACAAAUUCAAGAGCUCACUGUACGCAGAGGUGAACCAGGAGAAAGAGCAGGAGAUGAUCGGUUCGGUCAGCCAGAAUGACAGCACGCCUAAAUCACCCUCAGUGAGAAGGAGAUGGACGCCAGGGUUAAACGGCGAAUUGGAAAUGCCUGCGAGAGCACAAGGGAGAUUCCUAACUGUACUAGCGUGUAAAGCCGAGGAAGGAAUGCAACAAAUGUAUACAGACUUAAAGUAUUGCCAUUUUGAGGGUUUUCUCUUUUUUGGUUUAUUUUGUAAUUUCUCAAACACAACCCCAAUGUUAACAGUUUUCUAAGGACCUCAUUUAUUCUGAUGUGCAUGGGUGUCUUGUUUGAUAGCAUCUAUGCGGCAAAUUUGAAAUCCACUCAAUUAGACAAGUUUUAAUUACAAGUAUGAGAUACUUAGGCCUACUGUUACACAAUUUGGAUUACAAAAAAAGUGUUAAUUUUCAGUCCAUAAUUGUCUUAUUUAAUGGACAUUUAUCAAAGCCUUUAUCAAAACCUACGAAGAGAGGUAUGUACAUUUGUUAAGGUUUUACUUUUCAUGAGGUAUAAGAGUUUUGUCUGUAUGGGCCAACAUGUCUAGGUCUCCGAUCUAACAGGGAAUAUUAUUGAAAAUGUACCAUAUUAUCUUUAGAUAUCUGUUAUCGCUCUGUAUAAACUAUUUGUAUAUUUACUUUCCACAUGCUUGUAGUAAAAGUACAAUGCCGAACACAGGAGAUCUAGUCAUGGCGUGUUAUCAGUUCUUGAAAAUGUGUUAAAAAAGCAAGAUGUUAUUUAUAGAAAGAGUCCAACUUCAUUUGUUUUUAAUGAGGUCCUUGACUCAUGCAUGGUAUUAUUAAGGACACUAUGUAUAUGUUGUAGAUAAGCAAGUGUUGUAAAUAGUUAUUUUCUAUUCAUCAGAAGAGCUCACUAAUUUUUACAUACAGUAUAUAUACAGACUUGCAUAUCCAUCAUUUUGUUAAUUUAUGGCUAUACAAUACAUCUGUCUUGUACAAAGGGUUUAACUGUUAAGAUGGGAAUCAUUUUUAAAUAUUAAACCAGGUUUACACAACGCCACCCCUGCUUGAAAUGAAAUAAAACACAGAAUUGGUGGUAAUUUCUACAUGCAUCAUUGGUUAAACUCUUUGUAACAGACGACACUUUCCAUAAGCAUCAUGGGAUUAUUUCUAUUGUUUGCCCUUUGAAUGUAACGAGAAAUGGAAUCAGCCAUUUAUGAUCUGUGGAUAUAAUUUGUGUCUGAUUCAUCAAGAUGAUCACAUAUUGUUGUACAUGUCAAUUCAACACAUUUCAUCAGCUUCAUUUAGAAGUUAGAAACCAACUGUUAAGUCAAGUUCCACCACUUGAAUUCCCUAACGUAGUGAAAUACUGUACACACAACAGUGUGCAUGCUAGCUAGUAGCUAGUUUCCUCCACUACACUGCUGUGCAAUGCAGUCCUCCGAAAGCUGUCAUCAGCAGGAGUAGAAGCAGGAGCACCAGUCAGCCAGUCAGCAGCUUGAAGGCACGCACAUUUCCCCUGGCAGCAGGUGUAGCCAGUCUGGCUGUAAACAGAGAUGGGUGGAUGGUUAAGCACUGAAUGCACCAUGCCGAGCUAUCCCAGAAUGCCGUUCCUGGAGUCGGCACGUAAUGACACACAGGAGAGUGAGAGGACAGAAGGACAGGGAUGUUUAGAGAAUGUUGCACAAGUGUAUGACAGGAAAGUGUUUCCCAUGAUAGUGUACAUAAGUGUGUGUUCAGUAGUAAAGGAAAGAGGUGGAGCUUCUGUAUCUGUAUUCCCUUGUUACAUUGUAACAAGAGUGGUGUUACAUUCUAAUAAGAGUGUUAUAGCAGUUGUCAUUGCAAGCCGUUGCUGUAGCGACAUCUAACGUUGUUAUGAUGCAUGAAACUCCAUCCACAGAGGCAGUUUUUUCCGCUCCGGUUCCAUUCUUCAAUGACACGACCUAGCAAAGCAACACUUUGUUUUGUUGAACGAUAAUUGCAUCAUCCUCACUAUUUGGUUUGUUGUUGACAACUCAUUUUGAUGUUCUCAAUGUCACCCCUGCUUUGUUCAAAUACUUAUUAAAAAGAAAGAUUAACAGAGUUACAGAUAACGGGAACAUGGAAGUGUUUCUUCUUUGUGUCAUCUCUGCCACCACCAGUUCCUAAGGCGACUCCUCCACUGCCUCCACUGCCUCCACUGGUAGACAAAGCUGAACUAGCUGACCUAGGUCACUGAGAGUUCAUCCACAUGUAUAAUUCCUUUUAUUUCUCCUGAAUUUCUUCGGAAAGACAUUCCUUCGGCAUGUAAGACCAUUAUAUCGGUGGAGUACAACCAUUCAUCCCAUGAGCCUCGAAGCUCCUUUCGCCUUAUGAGCAGGAAACAUGCGUUGGCAUUUUAGCCUUGGUCGUCGAUCAUUCAAAAGUGAUAAGAUCUUCAGACAUCCUUCAGAGGCAACACUGACUCUGAAAAUACAUUUUCUUGUACAGCUGCAGGUUUGUAGGGAAAGUAUUUGGUUUUGUUAUAUUUGUUACAGUUUGUGUGCUUAUUUAAUGGUGUAGAUAUUUUGCUCCGCAAUGUUUGUUUGAAUAGUUUUCUCUUGUGUUCAUUGCUUUACAUCAAAUUCUAUUGAGCUGGUUUGAUUACUUUUUCGUACAAAUGUUGAACACCUAUUAUAAUACUAUAUAUGAAAUCUGAAAGGGAAUCAAGGUUGUAAAAUUGGAAAUCUUAGCUUACUAAGAUGCGGUAAAGAGGUCAAUGGAACUCGACCAAAACAAUGAAAAUGACUUGGAAACACGUGGGGGAAAGAUGCCAUGGAGGAAACUUCCUGAAUCUCCUCAUUGCCCCCCAGCAAAAUGUGCCUAUAUGUAUGCAAUUGUUUAUAUGUGUAUUUCACACUACGUUGAGGAAAAAAAAUCGGAGUAUAUUGCUUGUAUGGAUGUCA